CGAGCACACGUGGAACAUGGGAACAGCACAGUGCCCCUCGCUGAGGUGAUGGUGAAAUGCAUGGCGAGCAUGGUGCCCGGUGCCCAGGGCACUGUCCCUGCUAUUAUCUGGGGUACUAGAGGGGAAACUGAGGCAUGCAGAAAUGAAAAGCAUUAUGCGAGGCAGCCAAGAGGAUCAAGAACUCAACUCAGGAAGCGCCUGGGCUCGAGGUCCCAGCGGCAGAGGCCUGGGCGGGCCAGCAGAUGUCCGUGCUCCCUUGGGGGACACUCUCCGGGCAGCAUUUCUGCAAAGGGUUACGAGCAGCGACAGCAGCGAAGGAAAAGGGUCCCAGCGUCUUGUGGAGAGGCCCUGAUGUCCAGUCCACCACGAGAAACAGUUCUCCUUCUUGGGGACAACUGUACAAAGUGUAAAAGAAAACGCGAAGCCGACUUGGCAGACUCCGGCGUGUUCUGUCUCCCUCGCUGGCUCGCACAUCCGUCCGCACUCGCACGUUCCGUCUCCGCCGGCGACAGGA